rnacentral:rRNA from 1 species
UACGUAGGGUGCGAGCGUUGUCCGGAAUUAUUGGGCGUAAAGAGCUUGUAGGCGGUUUGUCGCGUCUGCCGUGAAAGCCCAGGGCUUAACCCUGGGUCUGCGGUGGGUACGGGCAGACUAGAGUGUGGUAGGGGAGACUGGAAUUCCUGGUGUAGCGGUGAAAUGCGCAGAUAUCAGGAGGAACACCGAUGGCGAAGGCAGGUCUCUGGGCCACUACUGACGCUGAGAAGCGAAAGCAUGGGGAGCAAACAGG